rnacentral:tRNA from 2 species
GCCCAGAUGGCGGAACUGGUAGACGCGUCAGACUCAAAAUCUGGUAUUCGCAAGGAUGUGCAGGUUCGAUUCCUGUUCUGGGCA